GGGAAUGGAAUUCUACGGUUCGCCUUCAGAUCUACAUUGACUCGUUCUCAUUCGAACAAAUUGAAGAAUCUCCAGCCUAUACAUGGGCGACUCUGAUCGCAAAUUUGGGAGGCAACUUGGGCUUCGUGGGCGUGUCGCUGAUCACCGUCUUCGACGUGGUCUACUACUUAUUCGACGUGUUCCUGAUCCUGGUGUGGCCGCGUUGCUACGACGUCUCGGAGGGCGUCACCAAGUCCGUCGCUCCCGUCAAGAAAAUUCCGAAGAAAAUCAUCAUCUUGGCCGGUCCUGCGGAGCAGCUGCCUCACGGCCAGCCAUCCAAGAAGCGCCCGUUGAGAUCAAAAGACAGGUGGACGGAUCGCUUCAACCAGGUCUUCAUGAGCGAGUGAAACCAUGUUCCAUACUCAAAAUUUGUCAGGCUCUAUGUUCAUAUUCCUUUGUGUUUUUCGAAGAAAUCCUGCACACGAAAUGGCUUCUUUUAAGGGGGGCGUCUACCCUUCAGAAAAAACUUCCACAUUUACGAACGGAUCUUUCUGAAACUUGACACAUAUAUG